GGACCCGUAUCUCAGUUGGAUAGAGUGUUAGCUGUACUAAAGCCUUCCCCUUGCUGAUGCGGGUUCGAAUCCCACCGAGGCCA
rnacentral:tRNA from 1 species